AGAGUUUGAUCCUGGCUCAGGACGAACGCUGGCGGCGCGCCUAACACAUGCAAGUCGAACGAGCGAGAGAGAGCUUGCUUUCUCGAGCGAGUGGCGAACGGGUGAGUAACGCGUGAGGAACCUGCCUCAAAGAGGGGGACAACAGUUGGAAACGACUGCUAAUACCGCAUAAGCCCACGGGUCGGCAUCGACCAGAGGGAAAAGGAGCAAUCCGCUUUGAGAUGGCCUCGCGUCCGAUUAGCUAGUUGGUGAGGUAACGGCCCACCAAGGCGACGAUCGGUAGCCGGACUGAGAGGUUGAACGGCCACAUUGGGACUGAGACACGGCCCAGACUCCUACGGGAGGCAGCAGUGGGGAAUAUUGCACAAUGGGGGAAACCCUGAUGCAGCGACGCCGCGUGGAGGAAGAAGGUCUUCGGAUUGUAAACUCCUGUUGUUGAGGAAGAUAAUGACGGUACUCAACAAGGAAGUGACGGCUAACUACGUGCCAGCAGCCGCGGUAAAACGUAGGUCACAAGCGUUGUCCGGAAUUACUGGGUGUAAAGGGAGCGCAGGCGGGAAGACAAGUUGGAAGUGAAAUCUAUGGGCUCAACCCAUAAACUGCUUUCAAAACUGUUUUUCUUGAGUAGUGCAGAGGUAGGCGGAAUUCCCGGUGUAGCGGUGGAAUGCGUAGAUAUCGGGAGGAACACCAGUGGCGAAGGCGGCCUACUGGGCACCAACUGACGCUGAGGCUCGAAAGUGUGGGUAGCAAACAGGAUUAGAUACCCUGGUAGUCCACACCGUAAACGAUGAUUACUAGGUGUUGGAGGAUUGACCCCUUCAGUGCCGCAGUUAACACAAUAAGUAAUCCACCUGGGGAGUACGACCGCAAGGUUGAAACUCAAAGGAAUUGACGGGGGCCCGCACAAGCAGUGGAGUAUGUGGUUUAAUUCGACGCAACGCGAAGAACCUUACCAAGUCUUGACAUCCCUUGACGAACAUAGAAAUAUGUUUUCUCUUCGGAGCAAGGAGACAGGUGGUGCAUGGUUGUCGUCAGCUCGUGUCGUGAGAUGUUGGGUUAA
rnacentral:rRNA from 1 species